UCAGAACCAGUAGUCCAUGGACAAGGAGAGGUUUCUUUCUUUCUCUAUGGACCAGAAAAAACAAUGCCAUCUGAUGCUGGGCUAAACUUUCAAGACUUAGAACAAGAAUUAUGAAGCCUAGCUGAAUGAAUGUGAAGCCCACUUGGCUGCUUUCUAGCUGAAUAAAGAACGGAUCAAAUGUCUCUCUCCAUCAGCUUCUCCAUGCCCACGUAAAGGUGUUUCAUACCUUUUGAAGAUAACUGGUAUGCCUUCAUGACUAACAGUCUGGAAAUGGAAUAAUGCUCAGAAAUUAUUGAGCUGAAGAUCCUGGGCUUGGGGCA